rnacentral:tRNA from 1 species
GGCAGUGUGGCACAGUGGGUAAGGAACUGCGCUUGUAACCAAAAGGUCGUGGGUUCAAUUUCCGCGUAGGGCACUGCCG